rnacentral:lncRNA from 1 species
AGCACAACUUGGCCAGAUGGCAAAGUCACUGGAAAAAGAUGCAGAAAGCCAACCAAAGGCUUACGUGUAUAUUAUUUGAUUGGGCCCUGUAAGGGUUGUUUCAAAACCAACCUUGAGGCCUAAAAGCUUGUUGAGGAGCCCUUUUCCUUUGUGAUAUGGAGGCUCUCACAGUUUCCAUAACUUUAUGGUACAGUGCUAUUAUCUCAUGUUACAUGGCCAACAUUAUAGCACCCACAGGAUGUGGAGUAUUCCUAAAGGCCAACCUCAGACAAUCGCAUAGAGCUAUCUUUGUCAGCUUAGAGAGUAAAGGUUGCUAAGAACAGCUGUCCUGUUUCUAAGCCCAGAGAUUUCUAUGAGACAUCUUUCAUGUAAAACAUUUUUACAAAAGGAAUAACAGUAGCAACCCACAUGUUCCCAUUUGUCCUGUCUGUGCUUGGUCAAUAGUUGGCAAUCAAUGUGCAAAAUUUGUCCAUAGGAAAAACCACUUUUGUGGUCGCCAAAUAAUUUAGUUCAUUGCUUAAGACAUUGAAAGGUCUCAUAAAGGAUGUGUACAUAUGCAUGUUUGGGGACUUUGCCCUUAUGAGGAGAGGCCCUUGGUACUCUGGAUAAGGAAACUUGUGCAGUGGGCUGCCCAUGCUUACACACUAAAUAAUAUAAAGGAAAUGAAGCCAUGUUAACUCCACAGUCAUGUCUCCAUAGUUGUGUUGUUUACAAUACUCUGGAAGUAAACUGCUGCCCUUAGGGGCCUUUCAGUUUCCCCUCUGUUAUGUCCCUUCUUAUAGGAGCUCAGAUUUUCUAAACUUGUUUUUAUUUUAAAGACUUUUAAAAUGGACAUUUUCAAUAAACAAGAAUAAACAGUGCUUUAU